rnacentral:rRNA from 1 species
AGCGAACGCUGGCGGCAGGCUUAACACAUGCAAGUCGAGCGGGCCCUUCGGGGUCAGCGGCAGACGGGUGAGUAACACGUGGGAACGUACCCUUUGGUUCGGAAUAACGCUGGGAAACUAGCGCUAAUACCGGAUACGCCCUUUUGGGGAAAGGCUUGCUGCCGAAGGAUCGGCCCGCGUCUGAUUAGCUAGUUGGUGGGGUAAUGGCCUACCAAGGCGACGAUCAGUAGCUGGUCUGAGAGGAUGAUCAGCCACACUGGGACUGAGACACGGCCCAGACUCCUACGGGAGGCAGCAGUGGGGAAUAUUGGACAAUGGGCGUAAGCCUGAUCCAGCCAUGCCGCGUGAGUGAUGAAGGCCUUAGGGUUGUAAAGCUCUUUUGUCCGGGACGAUAAUGACGGUACCGGAAGAAUAAGCCCCGGCUAACUUCGUG